UAGGAAGUGAGGCGUGUCUCUGCCCGG
rnacentral:piRNA from 1 species